rnacentral:rRNA from 1 species
UACGUAGGGGGCAAGCGUUGUCCGGCAUCAUUGGGCGUAAAGAGCGCGUAGGCGGUCCGGUAAGUCCGCUCUGAAAGUCCGGGGCUCAACCCCGGGAGGCGGGCGGAUACUGUCGGGCUAGAGUCCGGAAGAGGCGAGUGGAAUUCCUGGUGUAGCGGUGAAAUGCGUAGAGAUCGGGAGGAACACCAGAGGCGAAGGCGGCGACCUGGACAGACACUGACACUCAACUACGAAAGCGUGGGGAGCAAACAGG